GACGAACGCUGGCGGCGUGCUUAACACAUGCAAGUCGAACGGAAAGGCCCUGCUUUUGUGGGGUGCUCGAGUGGCGAACGGGUGAGUAACACGUGAGUAACCUGCCCUUGUUUUUGGGAUAACUUCAGGAAACUGGGGCUAAUCCCGGACAGGAGACCACGUUGCAUGGAGGGGGGUGGAAAGUUUCGGCGGUGGGGGAUGGACUCGCGGGUUACGAGCUUGUUGGUGGGGGGGUGGCAUGCCCAGGCAUUGGAGGAUAGCCCGCCUGUGAGGGUGACCGGCCACAUUAGUACUGAGAUACGGAGCAGACUCCAACGUGAGGCAGCAGGGGGGAGUAUUGCACAAUGGGCGGGAGCCUGAUGAGACAACGCCGCGUGCGGGAUGACGGCCUGUGGGGUGUGAACCGCUUUCGCCUGUUACGAAGCGUGAGUGACGGUAAUGAGUAAAGAAGCACCGGCUAACUACGUG
rnacentral:rRNA from 1 species